ensembl:lncRNA
CCAGCUGACAGAAACCACUCCUUCUGCCACACGUCCACAUCCUGCUGUUCAGGAUAUGUUGUAUGUUCGUGCUGGGAGCUCAGCUGUGCUUUAGACCUGUGUGUUUAAUUCUAUAUCAUAGCAUCGCUAAAAUGAUCUUCUCAGUAGUUAUUUUCAUACUUAUUUCUGUUGCGGCAUCAGAAGGUCCUAUAACAAUCCCAACCACUGUUAUGCCAGCUAUAGAGACACAGCAGCCUAACAGUUCAACAGUCCAGUCCACAAACCCUCGAGAUACUUCUGAGUCACAGACCACAACACAACUAAUCAUAGCUCAACAAACAACACAAAUGGAUCUCAAAAACAUCACUCAGUCAACCACUUCACAAUCUACCUGGCCCAAGACAUCUAAACUGACAACGUCUGAACUGAAAAUCACCACCGUCUACUCUAGUGAAAUGACAUUUUCAGCAGAACCAAACAGCACAUCCAUUAACACAGCUCUGGGAGACAGAGAAGAACAAGAUUUGGCAGCAAAUCCAGGGCUGGUUGCAGUGCUGUGUAUUUUCUGCAUUGUGGUGGCUGUAGUUGUUGUGGUUGUGAUAGUGAAGGCUGUUCGCUCCAGGAGACCUCAGUUUGAGAGGCUUGAUGAUGUACCUAUGGGCAAGGUAAAUGAGGAAGCACCGUUUGCCCGCUACCCUCCAAAAUAAAGGCCAGUUUCUUAUACUUGCUGUCUCAGUGAACGACGUAGCUAUGCCUCUGAUAUUUCGCUUUUUGGUUUUGAAAUGAAAUGUGCCUUUUUAACCUACAGACUUAAUGUGCAAUACAUAGUGUAUUAGUUGUGAAAUAUGAUAAUGUGCUUUUUUCCCCCUUAAAAUACCACAGCUAAUGACAAACUUGUAGUCAAAUGAAGAAAUCUAACUUCUUAUGUCCUAUAUUUUUGUAUUGUUUAUGCCAUAUUCUUCUCUUGUAAGCCCGUUUUGAUUAAACCUAUCUUUUGAAAAAAUCUGCUUAAUUAAUACAUAUAAUUGGAAUGUAAAUGUACAUAAUGACGACUGCACUGUCAAUAUUUGUGAGAGACUAUGUCGGGAGUGUGACAUUUUCAGCCUGUCCUCCAGAUGGCGCCAAAAUUGUUCACAAGCAGUUGUACUGUAUGUAUCUUUAACAUUAUUUGAGAACUGAGAGUUGUUUUUGCUCAAAAUAACAAAUAUCUUUGGCCUUGGACCACCUCAAAUGAACUUAAUACAAUUCGACAAAUGUAUUGUAAAUAAAUAAAAAAUUUUGCAUUAAAGCA